CAGAGCAGCUCCUGGGCUGCCAAACUCGGGGUGGUGGGUACUCCCUGUCCACAGUGAGCCACGGCUGGGAUAGGGCUGUAUAACAAGGUCAUAAAUAUUAUUAUGUCAAUAUUUGUGGUUGGUUGGGUGUAUUCUGGUCCAUCCUUUAUGGUAUUUAAAAUGCAAGGCCUCCAUCCCAGCCUUAUAGGCCAGUACCUGCAGCAGCCACGUGGGACCCCCUCAGCAAAAAACCUCCCCCCAGGUUUCUCAGAUGUCACGAUGGUGGUCGUACAUCUCCAACAGCUUCUCAUUUCUUCUGGCUCUGAACUGUGCAGCUUUCACGGGGUGAAAGUUUGGAAUAAUUCUGUCCCCUGCCUGGGUGAGGAGGAGGUGACAGAGCAGCUUUGGUGGCACCAACCAGGGCCAGCCCAUGACAUCUCCCUUGGUUGGGAACCUUUAAAUAUUUUUAAGCAAGCAAGGUGCAAAACAAAUGCCUUUGUUCCUUGGAUGAAUCACACUGGGAUCUGCUGGAGAACAGCCAAUACUGCCUGAUUUGUAAAAGUAUAAAACUUCCCCCGUGGCUUUGCAAGGGGACAGGCAAACAGCCAGAGAGCUGUGAUGUCAAAACCACGCUGUACAAGUCAAAACCAGGUCUGUGUGGUUGACUGUCCUCCCCAACUCAGUGGCUCAAAUGACUCAACAACAGGAAAUCUCCCACACAUCGAGAGCUGCCCUGCAAGGACACGUUCCUGAUGAGCUUCUGUUGGUCCAUUUGGUGCUGGUAAUAACUUACACAAGACCCCAGAGGACCAAAAGCUGCUGCCCCUGUUGGUUUGGGGUGCAGGGAACCAGGUCGUGCUCCUGCAACACAGGAGGAGGAACCAGAGCAGGGUUUCCUGCUGCCGAGUGCAUCCACCCCACAGAGCCCAGGGAA